AUAGAGAGAGAGAUGUAGGAUGAGGGGAGAGGAAAAGAUUGUUAGGUUGAAAUAAAUACCUUUGGAGUGUACUAGAAGUCUACUGACAACUUGGGGAAUAAUGGAAUAAAAGUAGAACAUGCAGAUGAAUGCAUGACUGAAAGAGUUGCUUGGUUUGGUUUACUUACUGUUUAGGUAUGUGUAUUUCUUUCUUUCCAAUCUUAGUUUAGAUUGCUCAGGGGAGGGUUUAGGGGCUCUUUGCAUGUGACAUUUGAUGUGGAGCAUUUCGGAAUUUCACCCCUUGCACAUGCCCCAGGGCGUGUGCCAGAAUGCCCUCACACACCCCAGGCUGCGUGGCAAGCAUCUGUGAAUAAUGGGCAACGGUCUGCCAGUCACACACCCUAGGGUGUGUGACUGGCAGACCGUUGCCCAUUAUUCACAGAUGCUUGCCACGCAGCCUGGGGUGUGUGAGGGCAUUCUGGCACACGCCCUGGGGCAUGUGCAAGGGGUGAAAUUCCGAAAUGCUCCACAUCAAAUGUCACAUGCAAAGAGCCCCUAAACCCUCCCCUGAGCAAUCUAAACUAAGAUUGGAAAGAAAGAAAUACACAUACCUAAACAGUAAGUAAACCAAACCAAGCAACUCUUUCAGUCAUGCAUUCAUCUGCAUGUUCUACUUUUAUUCCAUUAUUCCCCAAGUUGUCAGUAGACUUCUAGUACACUCCAAAGGUAUUUAUUUCAACCUAACAAUCUUUUCCUCUCCCCUCAUCCUACAUCUCUCUCUCUAUAUCUCUCUCUCUAUUAGAUGUGUGUUAGUUCAUUUCACACUGUCACUUUUAAUAUUGCAGUCAUUAUUUUAAUUUAACCCAAUAUCUUUUCUUUUACUACUAUUCUUAAUUGUUUGAUAAAGUUUUACGCAAAGUGUCCAGCACAUGCAUGGUUACAACAGUAUUUAGCAUCUAGAUUCCAUAAUUUAGCUCAUAUUGUUAUAUUAUAGAUAUACAGAGUUAGAGAGAACUAGAUCUUUAUUCUCUAGUUUAUAAACAUCAUGUAUUUGUUAUUCUUUACAUGUUUACCACUCUAAUCAUAAUAAAAUAUCUUUACUACAAUAUAUAUUAUGCUUUUUUUCUACACAUCUAUAUAUUAUCUUUAACUGAUUUUGAGAAGUUGUAACUUGUCUCAAAUCUUACAGUUCCCUAAUUCUCAAAAGAAAACUGAAGAAUACUGUCAUGCUAAA
rnacentral:misc_RNA from 1 species